rnacentral:rRNA from 1 species
GACGAACGCUGGCGGCGUGCCUAAUACAUGCAAGUCGAGCGAAUGGAUUAAGAGCUUGCUCUUAUGAAGUUAGCGGCGGACGGGUGAGUAACACGUGGGUAACCUGCCCAUAAGACUGGGAUAACUCCGGGAAACCGGGGCUAAUACCGGAUAACAUUUUGAACCGCAUGGUUCGAAAUUGAAAGGCGGCUUCGGCUGUCACUUAUGGAUGGACCCGCGGCGCAUUAGCUAGUUGGUGAGGUAACGGCUCACCAAGGCAACGAGGCGUAGCCGACCUGAGAGGGCGAUCGGCCACACUGGGACUGAGACACGGCCCAGACUCCUACGGGAGGCAGCAGUAGGGAAUCUUCCGCAAUGGACGAAAGUCUGACGGAGCAACGCCGCGUGAGUGAUGAAGGCUUUCGGGUCGUAAAACUCUGUUGUUAGGGAAGAACAAGUGCUAGUUGAAUAAGCUGGCACCUUGACGGUACCUAACCAGAAAGCCACGGCUAACUACGUGCCAGCCGCCGCGGUAA